GAAGAGCAUUUGAAACAGCAAGACUUGAGUACAGGAGAGGAAAGCGGAAUUCCUGGUGUAGAGGUGAAAUUCGUAGAUAUCAGGAGGAACACCCAUGGCGAAGGCAGCUUUCUGGACUGAUACUGACGCUGAGGCGCGAAGGUGUGGGUAGCGAACAGGAUUAGAUACCCUGGUAGUCCACACAGUAAACGAUGUUCACUAGGUGUAGCGGGUAUUAAAACCUGCUGUGCCGGAGUUAACGCAUUAAGUGAACCGCCUGGGGAGUACGGUCGCAAGAUUAAAACUCAAAGGAAUUGACGGGGGCCCGCACAAGCGGUGGAGCAUGUGGUUUAAUUCGACGCAACGCGAAGAACCUUACCUGGAUUUGACAUCCUGUGAAUCCCCGAGAGAUCG
rnacentral:rRNA from 1 species